ensembl:snRNA U2 U2 spliceosomal RNA
AUCGCUUCUCGGCCUUUUGGCUAAGAUCAAGUAGAAUAAGAUUGAGACUGAGCAUUUUAAAGUGUUUUUAAGACUUAGAUUUACUUUUUGUUCUGUGAACUUGAAGCAAAUGACUACAAUUGUUAUCCUUCUCAUCAUUUAGCAAGUCCUAGAACCUUA